AUGUGCAUUCCUACAAUGUUAAUGUACUGGAUCCCAUCAUAGCUCUGCAGUUAAGCGUGCUUGGCCUAGAGUAGUAUUGGGAUGGGUGAACUCCCAAGAAAUCCUAGUGUUUUACAUG
rfam:Picea glauca, whole genome shotgun sequence.